CUGCUAUCACCAUGGUCGCCGGAUAUAUUUCUCUCAUAUCGAACCGCACAACGACACUACACGCUCUUUACCUUAUUAUCUUCGAUUGCUUAAUUUUGUUUGAUAUGGUGCAGAAAUAAUAAGAGGAUUUCAAAGGGCAAGGAUGGAGGCAAGAAGAAAGAGUGAGUUACCACAUUCAUUUAAUUUCAAAUGCGUGAAUUAUUUAUUUAUUUCUUUGAUUUCCCUACUAAAAAAAUAUUUCCUGUUGUUUCAGUGUUAGAUUCAUUCGCAAAGGAGUGAUAUGGCCUGAGAUGGCAUCUAUAGAUGCACGGGUGUUGCCUCCGUGCCUCUAUAGCGUUUGAGUUUUGGGCUUGCAUCAACUUCUCGAGGAUGACUGUAGUACAUAUCUACGAUGAUUUGAUCGACAUGUGUUGCAGUAAAGGGAUGGUAUGGUCUUGUCCUUGUUUGUACCAAAGUGGUAUCUAAACGGCCCAUCAUUGUUUCAGGAACAUAGUCGAAGACCUUUAGUUCCUGUUCGUAAUGCUCAUGGCGCGGUAGAGAAGACCUUUAUUGAUCUUGAGACAUUUCAGUUUAUGCCUAAGAUCAAAGACAAUGUGAAGGCUGUGAUGUUUUACAUCUGAUCCUUAUAUAUAUGUUGUCUGAUGCUGCCUUAAAAAUAUUUCAGUUUUUGCCUAAACUAGAAACAUUGGGCUUUUUGAUGGAUAUAAUCUCUGUUUGAAGAGGUUGCUUUUUGAGUGCCUUUGCAUUUCUUGCUCUAUAGUUUUUUUUAAAGCUAUUUUGGAAUGUAAAAAGAACAAUAGGGGUUACUUUUAUUAUAUGAAAUUUGUUAAUAGUCAGGCGAAAUGGUUUAGUUGCCUAAACUAGAAAAAAACAUUUGGCCUUUUAAUGGAUAUAAUCUCUGUUUGAAGAGGUUGGUUUUUGAGUA